rnacentral:lncRNA from 8 species
GUGAUACAGUUAUAUGCUGUAGUCAGUCAGGUUGUUAAAACCCACAAAGUCACUAAUGUGGGUUUACAAAUUGAUAUGUUCUCUUUCCAAGGUACAGUAGUGUAACUCUUCUCCCCUUUGUUCUGUUUCACACUCAGAGGUAUGAUGAUGUCUCACGGUUAUAUCCUGGUAGGUCAACUCAUUCUCAUUGGCCAGUCUCACACCAUGACAUAAAACGUUACAUGUAAAACGAUGUCAUGUGUUCGCUUACAUGUUGGCCUUUUUCCUCCACCCAUCAGACUCCAAAGGAGAGAAAGGUGAUCGUGGAGUACCAGGAAUACCUGGGGUACCAGGUACAGUAAAACCAGCUAGUUAUUUACUAACGCUGGCCUUAGGUGUACCAACACAUGAGAUUGAGCUGAUUGAACUCACGUUUUAUCGUCUCCACUCUAGGUCUCACGUCCAACUUUGACAUCUACACCUUCAAGGUAAGUGACGUAACUACAAAGGCGCUCGACACUCACAACCCGCCAUGCGUCUGUAUGUGUUUGACGUGAGGUCAAAUGUGUCCCUGCAGGAGGAGAUGAAGGGAGAGAGAGGAGACUCGGGGAUGAAGGGAGAGAAGGGCGAGCCAGCCGGAGGAUAUUAUGGUGGAGGUUACGGUGGACAGGGUGGUCAGCCUGGACCUCCAGGACUUCCAGGGCCAAAGGGAGAGUCCAUCAUCGGUCCUUCAGGGCCCCAGGGCCCUCCAGGUAACCCAGGAAGAGGGUACGAAGGCAGGCAAGGGAACCCAGGCCCACCGGGGCCCCCCGGACCUUCAGGAUCAUCCUCCUCACCUGGAGCCUACAGGCCAACACAGAGUGAGGCGUACUCUCUCACACACACACUCAUACAUACAGUACAUAGGCAGAAACACAACUUUCUGGUGACAUGA